UACGUAGGGUGCGAGCGUUGUCCGGAAUUAUUGGGCGUAAAGGGCUCGUAGGCGGUUUGUCGCGUCGGGAGUGAAAACUCAGGGCUUAACCCUGAGCCUGCUUCCGAUACGGGCAGACUAGAGGUAUGCAGGGGAGAAUGGAAUUCCUGGUGUAGCGGUGAAAUGCGCAGAUAUCAGGAGGAACACCGGUGGCGAAGGCGGUUCUCUGGGCAUUACCUGACGCUGAGGAGCGAAAGUGUGGGGAGGCGAACAGG
rnacentral:rRNA from 1 species